UNUGACUUGAGUGCAGAAGGGGAGAGUGGAAUUCCAUGUGUAGCGGUGAAAUGCGUAGAUAUAUGGAGGAACACCAGUGGCGAAAGCGGCUCUCUGGUCUGUCACUGACGCUGAGGCUCGAAAGCGUGGGUAGCGAACAGGAUUAGAUACCCUGGUAGUNCACGCCGUAAACGAUGAGUGCUAGGUGUUAGGCCCUUUCCGGGGCUUAGUGCCGGAGCUAACGCAAUAAGCACUCCGCCUGGGGAGUACGACCGCAAGGUUGAAGCUCAAAGGAAUUGACGGGGGCCCGCACAAGCGGUGGAGCAUGUGGUUUAAUUCGAAGCAACGCGAAGAACCUUACCAGGUCUUGACAUCCCGAUGCUAUUCUUAGAGAUAGGAAGUUACUUCGGUACAUCGGAGACAGGUGGUGCAUGGUUGUCGUCAGCUCGUGUCGUGAGAUGUUGGGUUAAGUCCCGCAACGAGCGCAACCCUUAUUGUUAGUUGCCAUCAUUAAGUUGGGCACUCUAGCGAGACUGCCGGUAAUAAACCGGAGGAAGGUGGGGAUGACGUCAAAUCAUCAUGCCCCUUAUGACCUGGGCUACACACGUGCUACAAUGGUCGGUACAACGAGUUGCGAGCCGGUGACGGCAAGCUAAUCUCUGAAAGCCGAUCUCAGUUCGGAUUGGAGGCUGCAACUCGCCUCCAUGAAGUCGGAAUCGCUAGUAAUCGCGGAUCAGCACGCCGCGGUGAAUACGUUCCCGGGCCUUGUACACACCGCCCGUCACACCACGAGAGUUUGUAACACCCGAAGUCGGUGAGGUAACCUUUUAGGG
rnacentral:rRNA from 1 species